GGUGGGUUGGCUCAGUGGUUAGAGCUUAGGUCUCGUAAGCGAAAGGUCACGGGAUCGAAUCCCGCUAGAGGCUG
rnacentral:tRNA from 1 species